UGACGUCAUAAUGUCGGAAUUGUGUAAAUCAGUGGUGCUGAAAUACAAGUUAGAACAACCUACAAGAGUGUUUCAUUUCAAUAUUAACAUCAGGAACAUAAUUGUGGAACGACUAACUCCAUUAGAGGUUACUGCAAAUGACUACAUCUGUGGGGCUUGUUACUCAUUAUUGCAAAGAGAUACCACACCUACUUCACAAGACUCUCCAGAUAUGCCAACCGGUGCCCCGGUAGGUCACCAACAAGUUUGUGUUGGAUGUGGUUGUUCAUUAUUGCGAACUUGAAGUCAUUGUUUGGAUACAGAGAAUAAUCAAGAUAUAUUAAACAUUGUUCGAAAUUGGAUUCAACCCAGAGAGAUUCGUCCUUCAGAUCUUCUUUGCCAUAGAUACUAUCAGAGAGCACGAAUUACUACAUUAUUUUAUGCUUAUUUAAUGUUGGUGCUUAUUUAAUGAAGCUGAGGACCGGUGAUUCAGAUGACAGAAUAGCUACAUUACUUGGCAUUUCAAGGAGUACUCUUACAAAAUAUGUAAUGAAAGCACGCAGUAUGAUGGAGGAACAUUUCGUACCAGCACAUUUAGGGUUACAACAUAUUAGUAGAGAGGAAGUAGCCCAAAGAAACCUUUAUGUUCCAGUCUCUUUUCGGGAAGCCAGGAAACGAUUUACCACAAAGAAAGGCUAUUGUCACCAUGGAUGGUACAUACAUACAUUUAUGUGCAAAAAAGUAGCAAUUAUGCAUACCAAAAAAAAAACUUAUUCCCUAUACAAAUAUCGGAAUCUCGUUAAACCAUUUAUGGUACUUUGUUGUGAUGGCGACAUCAUUGAUGUAUUGGGCCCAUAUUUAAUAGAA